AUCACUUCUUGGACUUUUGGCUAAGAUCAAGUAUAGUAUCUGUUCUUAUAAGUUUAAUAUCUGAUAUGUCCCUCCCUCUAGGCUGUAAACUCACUGUGGGCAGGGAAUCUGUCUGUUUAUUGUUAUAUCGUACUCUUC
rnacentral:snRNA from 1 species